CCAAAGUGAUGGAGACAUUUGAAACCAUUGAGGGCAGAUGAAAGAGGACAUCCCCAUGCUCUGGUCAUCAUUUCGAACUUCAAAUGUAGAGGCAUUCCAUCCAAUCAUAAACCAGUUUGCGCCAUAAAUGUUUAAAUUGUCCUACAUUGGAAUGCAAAGUCGCUUGGCCUUAGCAGCACUUCACUACAACGAAAAUUCCAUUAAGGAUCAGGCAGCCACACUAGAGGGGAAUCUUCAAUACAGCAUUGUAUUUCCAAAGCACUAAAAGAGGGACAACACUGUGACGAAGGUGAAGACGAAAGGGUAUGUCGAUGUUCUUACAAAUGCUGCUAUGAAAAGGGCUAUCAACAUGAAGAUGCCACAAUUUGGGGAUCCUGGAGUUGCCACUGUGUGACCAGUAUGUACACCCCGAGAAAGACGAUUUGGUGGGUCAGCUGCUGACAACGUUCUGGAGGAAUUAGGCCAUAUGGAAUCCUUGGUAUUCACCAUAUUCUGGACUGCACAAGGAGGAAGUGGUACACGCAAGUUUCUCCCAAACCAUACCCAGCACCAUCUAGCCAGUUGCCUGUAACACAUCCGCCUGUAAAAUACGAGGAUUGAAACAUUUUUGAUGAAAAAAUCCACUACUUCUUCCAUUAUAUUUUAAUGAUAUCUUAGUAUGUUAGGGCAUAUGUAUGUUAAAUAUACCGUUGUUGACUUUUACUGUUGUUCUUCGUGUAUUUUAAAUUAUUUUUUUUUAAUU